AACGCACAUUGCGCCCGCCGGCAUUCUGGCGGGCAUGCCUGUUCGAGCGUCAUUUCAACCCCUCAAGCCCGGCUUGGUGUUGGGGCCCCUACGUGCGCCGUAGGCCCCGAAUCCCAGUGGCGGGCUCGCCGCGAUCCCGAGCGUAGUAGUGCUACCUCGCUCAGGGCGCGCGGCGGGCGCCGGCCGUGAAAGGGAAGCCCCCCACGGGUGACCCCCCCACACGCAAGGUUGACCUCGGAUCAGGUAGGAAUACCCGCUGAACUUAA
rnacentral:misc_RNA from 1 species